rnacentral:rRNA from 1 species
CAGUCGCCGCGGUAAUACGAAGGGUGCAAGCGUUAAUCGGAAUUACUGGGCGUAAAGCGUGCGUAGGCGGUGAGUUAAGUCUGCUGUGAAAUCCCCGGGCUCAACCUGGGAAUGGCAGUGGAUACUGGCUCGCUAGAGUGUGUCAGAGGAUGGUGGAAUUCCCGGUGUAGCGGUGAAAUGCGUAGAGAUCGGGAGGAACAUCAGUGGCGAAGGCGGCCAUCUGGGACAACACUGUCGCUGAGGCACGAAAGUGUGGGGAGCAAACAGGAUUAGAUACCCCCGUAGUCCCUGUCUCUUAUAA